UAGAACAUAGUUACCACCAAUAUUUUGUUCAAAGAACAGUUAGGCAAAGCACAAAAUCUUCUCAUCACAUAUCAUUAAAGACUAAACACUAUCAUUUAGGAAAUAAACCAAAUUCACUAUUGUAACGAGAUCGCUUGAAGCAAACAUGAUAUUAAUGCGAAAUCAAAAAAACUACCUACAAACUAUAAAUUCUCAAGAAGGCAAUUAAGCGAGAAAUGUAUUACCCAUCAUUGCAAAAUCUUCCAAAAGACACGACAAAAACACAAGUCAAACCUUACUGGACCAAAGACGAAGACAUACCACUGCCCAUGGUUUGAACAAAGUAUUAAGAUCUUCUAACUAGAUAUUAGGGUUUUAACCAUGGAAAAUUCAAAAAUCAUUCCCAUAAAAGUAUAAGAAAAUAAUUAUUUAUGAACAUGUACUCAUACUAUGAACUUACAGUCUAAAAGUAGGAACUAACUCAAGUCUCUCUUUAAAGCUUGAAGUAAAGAUUUCUUCUGAAAUCUAUCUUGAAAAACCGCUGCAAGAAGAAACAUUGGCAUGUUAGAAUGAACGAGUAGAACAACAACAUCCAUAUAAAAGAAAGAGGUCAGAUUGCCUUGGGAUGACUCUCAUGCUAUCAUGAAUAUACGUAAUCAAUUGAUGAAUCAAACAAUAGGAGUUAACUUCUAGAGAGGAAAACCCUAAAUUCUAAUGAAACUAAAUGUGAAGAAAAAUCUAGAGUCUAUUUAUACAUAUUGAUUUAGCGUGACAGGGACGAUUAGUGAAGGUUACAAUUUGCAAUUUGAGAAGGUUCCUCUAAGAGUUUGUGAAACCCUUUAAUGACUUGGGAUUGUGAAAUCGAUGAGAUAUAAAGAAUAGAUUUCUGGUUCACUUACCCGAUGGAGAGCUACUCGUGUAAAGAAGAGGAUUGCGGUUGUUUACGGUGGAUUGAGACCAACAAAAGCUAUGAAUGUAUGCACUGGAAAACAAACACUGUGAAUCCCCACACUUACCCACCACAACGUCAAAAUGGUGAAUCCAUACACGAAGAAUCGAUGAACAAAAAAAAGGCUGAGAUUCGAGAGUUAGAACAAAUCACAUUGAUGAACCCUAAGUUUGUUGUGUCUCCCUAAGUUUGGUGAUUUUUAUUAAUGG
rnacentral:lncRNA from 1 species